rnacentral:sRNA from 1 species
ACAUUCCAUCGGUUUGCUGCCUUUGGAGAAUCAUCAAGCAGUGGCACUGAAAUGAACAACAAGAACUUCUCCAAGCUGUGCAAAGACUGUGGCAUCAUGGAUGGCAAGACAGUCACCUCCACGGAUGUGGACAUCGUGUUCAGCAAAGUCAAGUGAGGAGCCAAAGAUAUGGGGGUGGGGGUGAGAAGAACCUGUGAGGUAGUUGGCCACGGAAGGGUUCAUGUGGUGGAACAUUUGCAGUGGGCCUACCAAGCACCACAGGGUACCUGGUGCUGUAUUAUUCUUUGUCUUCAAGACACUCACUGAUAGGACAAAAGAGGCCAAAUCUGAGUGAGGCAAGAGUUGGACUUUGGAAGGUAAUGCAUUCAUGCUCCAAAGUUUCUGGAUUUCUGUCUAACUGACCAGGGCCAAGAACGCCCGAACCAUCACGUUUCAACAGUUCAAAGAGGCAGUGAAGGAACUGGGCCAGAAGCGCUUCAAAGGGAAGAGUCCAGAUGAAGUCCUGGAGAACAUUUAUGGACUCAUGGAGGGCAAGGACCCAGCCACCACUGGCGCUACUUGGAUGCUCUCGUCUCUCCUGGACACCACACACACUCCAACUCCAGUAAGACUCUACUCAAAUAUAUCUCUUAUACAACUUCAA